CGGCCGCGGGCAGCAGCCCGCUGCUCCGAGGGCAGGAGUCAGCUUCUGGUUAUGUUUGUUUCCUCAGAAACUUUUCGUCCUUGCGCGAUUUGGGUCCCCGCAGGGGUCAGUCAUCCAUCCAAACCUAAAGGACACGUUAAAUUUAACAGGACCGUGAACAUCACAGGAACAGGAGGUGCAAAUGCUGUGUCUAGUCACAGGCGACAUGCGGCUGCUCGCACGUACAGGUAGUUAACACUGUGCACGGCACUGCAUGCACCAUCCUUCCUGUCACUCUCCCUGCAGUGGAAGUUCAAAGGUGUAGGAGAGUCAACAAGUGAUGGAGAGGUGUUCAGAGUCGUGAGGAUUUCACUGUAAAGCUAGUACCAGUUUUAGAGUUGUGUGACAAAUAAUAACAGUACAUAAAAACAAAAUACCUGGCAAUACUCCAUCCUGAAAGCUCGAUAGGGAAAAAAAGAAAAGUAAACCAACACUGCUUCAGAGGACUGCCCUAAUGAGUAUAGGAGGAAUCAGUUUACCUUUAAGGAAAUGGUUAUUUACACUAUAUCUAGAGCUACAAAAACUAGGCCUUUUAAAGAUGUUAUUGGUGAGGUGGAACCUGGACUCUCUGCCUGUUUUUUAAAGAAAUGAAGUCAUGGCCUCUAGGCAACAGGUUUGUGCCAGCUUACAUGGUAUCCUAUCUCCUGAUUGAAAAGGGCUUCCCAUGGAAAAGGAGGCUAAAUUCCAGGUAUGUGGCAGUAAGCCCUCAACUGACUCUUUUCACAGUUUUGCCUGUAAGAUGUCAUGAUUAACUUCAUUUGCACCAUUCUUUUCAAAUACUGAUAAAGGCAUACAAGCCAGGAAUACACAGGUCCUGUCUCAAAGACAUGAGCUGUGAUUCAUAUCAGCAAUAAUCCUCUCCCCUUCUGGACUCCCAAGUAAAGCACCUGCAGGUCCGGCGAACUGGAACUUGGAAAUGCCACAACUGCAAAACCGAAAGGCACCUACACAGCCUGAUUUCCAGAGAUGUUGAGCACAUUCAUUGCUUCUGUGGCUGCUGAGCAACCCUGAAACUUAAGCAUGAUUCUGGCAAGCUGCUCUUGGUGACGAUGCUGCAUGCUCUCUGCUGGCUGUGCCUCAUCCUCAUCCUUCCUGCAGACCUUACAGCACCCACGGUUAGAAAGAUAAAUGUUGAAUUAUUACAAUGCUCUCCAUUCUUUGGGGCCUACUUUUCAUUUCAGCCUUUUAUUUAUCACUUGGCAUUCACAUUAACUCUCCAAAGCAAAAUUCCCGAUCCCAUUACACGGACACACUGGUCCAUUGUAGGAAUAUAUAGAAUUAUAGUAUCAUCCACCCAGUGCUUUCUGGGGCAUUCUUUGGAAAACCUGUGUCUGACCCGGACAGGACCUGGAGGUAAAAUGGGGUAAGGAUGAAAAGGCUCAGCUUCAGAUUAAUAAAAUGUACAACAUGUACAACUGUUGUGCAUCUUACACAGACUGCUGCUUUGGUCGAAAAUCAUAUUUUAGGGGAUGAGUUGGAGAAGAGUGAAGAUGCAAUAUAAUUACUUUCCUCCCCUAUCCAGAACCCUAUAUCUG